UGGGGAAUAUUGCGCAAUGGGGGCAACCCUGACGCAGCCAUGCCGCGUGAAUGAAGAAGGCCUUCGGGUUGUAAAGUUCUUUCGGUAGCGAGGAAGGCAUUUAGUUUAAUAAACUAGGUGAUUGACGUUAACUACAGAAGAAGCACCGGCUAACUCCGUGCCAGCAGCCGCGGUAAUACGGAGGGUGCGAGCGUUAAUCGGAAUAACUGGGCGUAAAGGGCACGCAGGCGGUGACUUAAGUGAGGUGUGAAAGCCCCGGGCUUAACCUGGGAAUUGCAUUUCAUACUGGGUCGCUAGAGUACUUUAGGGAGGGGUAGAAUUCCACGUGUAGCGGUGAAAUGCGUAGAGAUGUGGAGGAAUACCGAAGGCGAAGGCAGCCCCUUGGGAAUGUACUGACGCACAUGUGCGAAAGCGUGGGGAGCAAACAG
rnacentral:rRNA from 1 species